CUCCGGGUGAUCCUGCCGACCCCGACUGCUAUCGGAUUGAGAUUUAGCCAUGCGAGUCGAACGUCCCCCUGUUGCGGGGGGCGUGGCGUACGGCUCAGUAACACGUAGUCAACCUGCCCUGGAGACAAGGACAACCCCGGGAAACUGGGAUUAAUCCUUGAUAGGUCAUCUCAUCUGGAAGGAGAGAUGGCUUAAAGGGGUACGCGGGCUUCUUCCGCGAAUUCGCUCCAGGAUGGGACUGCGUCCGAUCAGGCUGUUGGCGGGGUAAUGGCCCACCAAACCUGUAACCGGUACGGGCCUUGAGAGAGGUGGCCCGGAGAUGGACACUGAGAGAAGGGUCCAGGUCCUACGGGGCGCAGCAGGCGCGAAACCUUCGCAAUGCGCGAAAGCGUGACGAGGUUAAUCCGAGUGAUUUCCGCUGAGGAGAUCUUUUGUCAGCUGUAAAUAGGCAGGCGAAUAAGGGGAGGGCAAGCCUGGUGUCAGCCGCCGCGGUAAUACCAGCUCCUCGAGUGGUCGGGGCGAUUAUUGGGCCUAAAGCAUCCGUAGCCGGUUCCGUAGGUCCUCUGUUAAAUCCAACCGCUUAACGGUUGACCUGCAGAGGAUACCGCGGGACUAGGAGGCGGGAGAGGCGGACGGUAUUCCGCGUGUAGGGGUAAAAUCCUUUGAUCCGCGGAGGACCACCAGUGGCGAAGGCGGUCCGCCAGAACGCGCUCGACGGUGAGGGAUGAAAGCUGGGGGAGCGAACCGGAUUAGAUACCCGGGUAGUCCCAGCCGUAAACGAUGCUAGCUAGAUGAUUCAUUCGCAAGUCGCGAAUGAAGUGUCGCAGGGAAGCCGUUAAGCUAGCCGCCUGGGGAGUACGGUCGCAAGACUGAAACUAAAGGAAUUAGCGGGGGAGCA
rnacentral:rRNA from 1 species